CUUCAAAACGAAGCCCACACAUUGUCGCCCAGGCUUCUAUUUUCUCAUUCUGUGAGAACAGUCAUUCUAGAAUGUCUUGCCUUGCUUUACUCACCUACAGAACAGAGAGAAGACCAUCUCUAUCCCUGUUAUAGUCUGCGGAUUAUCUAAUUCAAGCCUCUGGUUUACCUGGCAUCCCAGGUGGCUCAGUGGUAAAGAAUCUGCCUGCAAUGUAAGACAUGAAGGUUUGAAAGGUGCCAGGACUUUUUAAGGGAACUGAAGAAAUCAAAUUAGCAGGUAAAAUUUACCAGCUGGUGAUCCCUGGUUAUUUUCUGAUCUG
ensembl:lncRNA